GUCCUGGCUUUGCUUGCAGCCAGAUUGGGGCAGAGGCUGAGGCCAUUGUGGGGGCCUAUGGGAGCAGGGGCAGGGCUGGAUGGGGCUGAUGGCCCCAGGACCAUGUGUGGGUCCUGGAGGGGAGGGUGCGUAUCUGCAUGUGAGGACCCAACACUGGCUUCAGGCUUUUCCUCCCCUCCCCAAACAGCCGUGCAGCCACUGGGCUCUGUGGAGGGAGGAGAGGAGGGUCCUGGGCCCCCCCCGGGGGCCGGGCUGGAGACGCACUUUCACUUUCACUGCCUUUUAACAAGCUUGUGUUCCUCUGAGCUUCCUGUGUAAUAAAGGUUUCUACUGACUCUG